rnacentral:rRNA from 1 species
ACAGCAGCCGCGGUAAUACGUAGGGUGCAAGCGUUAAUCGGAAUUACUGGGCGUAAAGCGUGCGCAGGCGGUUUUGUAAGUCAGAUGUGAAAUCCCCGGGCUUAACCUGGGAACUGCGUUUGAAACUACAAGGCUAGAGUGUGGCAGAGGGGGGUGGAAUUCCACGUGUAGCAGUGAAAUGCGUAGAGAUGUGGAGGAACACCNAUGGCGAAGGNAGCCCCCUGGGUUAACACUGACGCUCAGGCACGAAAGCGUGGGGAGCAAACAGGAUUAGGUACCCUGGUAGUCCACGCCCUAAACGAUGUCAACUU